GUUAAUGUAGCUUAAUUUUAAAGCAAGACACUGAAAAUGUCUAGAUGGGCAAGCAUAACCCCAUAAACA
rnacentral:tRNA from 1 species